UAGGUUGAAGCCCGCUGGCUUGGGUGUUUAGUUGUUAACUAGAAUCUUACGGGAUCGAAGCCCGUCAGCCUAGU
rnacentral:tRNA from 1 species